UACGUAGGUGGCAAGCGUUGUCCGGCUUUACUGGGUGUAAAGGGCGUGUAGGCGGGUUAUUAAGUCAGAUGUGAAAUUCCUAGGCUCAACCUGGGCGCUGCAUCUGAAACUAAUAAUCUUGAGUGAUGGAGAGGAAAGCGGAAUUCCUAGUGUAGCGGUGAAAUGCGUAGAUAUUAGGAGGAACACCAGUGGCGAAGGCGGCUUUCUGGACAUUAACUGACGCUGAGGCGCGAAAGCGUGGGGAGCAAACAGG
rnacentral:rRNA from 1 species